rnacentral:rRNA from 2 species
AUGCAAGUCGAGGGGAAACGAUAUUGGAAGCUUGCUUCCGAUAGGCGUCGACCGGCGCACGGGUGAGUAACGCGUAUCCAACCUGCCCACCACUUGGGGAUAACCUUGCGAAAGUAAGACUAAUACCCAAUGAUAUCUCAAGAAGACAUCUGAAUGAGAUUAAAGAUUUAUCGGUGAUGGAUGGGGAUGCGUCUGAUUAGCUUGUUGGCGGGGUAACGGCCCACCAAGGCGACGAUCAGUAGGGGUUCUGAGAGGAAGGUCCCCCACAUUGGAACUGAGACACGGUCCAAACUCCUACGGGAGGCAGCAGUGAGGAAUAUUGGUCAAUGGGCGAGAGCCUGAACCAGCCAAGUAGCGUGCAGGAAGACGGCCCUAUGGGUUGUAAACUGCUUUUAUAAGGGAAUAAAGCGAGUCUCGUGAGACUUUUUGCAUGUACCUUAUGAAUAAGGACCGGCUAAUUCCGUGCCAGCAGCCGCGGUAAUACGGAAGGUCCGGGCGUUAUCCGGAUUUAUUGGGUUUAAAGGGAGCGUAGGCCGGAGAUUAAGCGUGUUGUGAAAUGUAGAUGCUCAACAUCUGCACUGCAGCGCGAACUGGUUUCCUUGAGUACGCACAAAGUGGGCGGAAUUCGUGGUGUAGCGGUGAAAUGCUUAGAUAUCACGAAGAACUCCGAUUGCGAAGGCAGCUCACUGGAGCGCAACUGACGCUGAAGCUCGAGAGUGCGGGUAUCGAACAGGAUUAGAUACCCUGGUAGUCCGCACGGUAAACGAUGGAUGCCCGCUGUUGGUCUGAAUAGGUCAGCGGCCAAGCGAAAGCAUUAAGCAUCCCACCUGGGGAGUACGCCGGCAACGGUGCAACUCAAAGGA